rnacentral:lncRNA from 1 species
CUCAUCGAAAAGAUGGUUGAUAACCUCUCCACCUUCCUUCGUACUCCGUAGAGCGAAUCGACUUUUCUUCUUCUUCUUUUCCUUAGGUCUCUAAACCUAUCUAAUUUUUUUCUCUAAUUUUUUUUAGUCUUUCCACUGAUUUUUUCUUCUCCCAAGACUUAUUCUCGGACCCUUUAUUUAUAGGUGAAUGCUUAGACCACCCA